rnacentral:rRNA from 1 species
CACGUAGGGAGCAAGCGUUGUCCGGAUUUAUUGGGCGUAAAGAGCUCGUAGGUGGUUCGAUAAGUCAGGUGUGAAAACUCUGGGCUCAACUCAGAGACGCCACUUGAUACUGUCGUGACUUGAGUCUGGUAGGGGAGUGUGGAAUUCCCGGUGUAGCGGCGAAAUGCGCAGAUAUCGGGAGGAACACCAGUGGCGAAGGCGGCACUCUGGGCCAGUACUGACACUGAGGAGCGAAAGCGUGGGGAGCGAACAGG